GACGAACGCUGGCGGCGUGCUUAACACAUGCAAGUCGAACGGAAAGGCCCUGUACUUGUAGGGUGUUCGAGUGGCGAGCGCGGGUGUAAAACGUGAGUGGACUCUCCUUUACUUUGGGAGAACAUCUGGGAAAUGGAGCGAUUAUCCGGCAGGAGAACCUGCUACACGGGGGGGAAGGGUAAAAGUCGGCGGUGCGGCAUGGACUCGCGGUCUAGCAGCUUGUUGGCGGGGUAGUGGCUUAACAAUGCUUUGACGGGUAGCCGGCCUGAGAGGGUGACCGGCCACAUUGGGACUGAGGUACGGGCCAGACUCCUACGGGAGGCAGCAGUGGGGAAUAUUGCACACUGGGCGGAAGCCUGAUGCAGCAACGCCGCGUGCGGGAUGACGGCCUUCGGGUUGUAACCCGCUUUCGCCUGUGACGAAGCGUGAGUGACGGUAAUGGGUAAAGAAGCACCGGCUAACUACGUG
rnacentral:rRNA from 1 species